UACGGGGGGGGGCUAGCGUUGUUCGGAAUUACUGGGCGUAAAGGGCGCGUAGGUGGCGGCGUAAGGCCGCGGUGAAAGUUCGGGGCUCAACCCUGAAUCGGCCGCGGCGACUGCGUCGCUUGGGCACGGUAGAGGCAGAUGGAAUUCCGGGUGUAGCGGUGGAAUGCGUAGAGAUCCGGAAGAACACCGGUGGCGAAGGCGGUCUGCUGGGCCGUGGGAUCGUAAGGUCCCUCAAGCCGACACUGAGGCGCGACAGCGUGGGGAGCAAACAGG
rnacentral:rRNA from 1 species